UUAUUUCUUUUCUAUCGCUAUCAACCCAAAGGAAUCACAAAUAUUUAAUCAACAUUUCAUACGCUAAUUAAUUCUUUUUCCAGCUAUGGUUUAAGACCAUCCACUACCUUCUACUUUCAUUUUACUAUACUAGAUUAUGAGCUCAGUCUGGCCUAUUAAACCUUCUAAAUAUAUUAGGAUCUUAAUUUACAUAAUAUAUCAAUUCUUAGAUUAUACUAACUACUCCUUGAUAGUACUCACUCGUUUCAUA
rnacentral:lncRNA from 1 species